AUACUUACCUGGAAGAGGAGAUACCACGAUCAUGAAGGUGGUUUUCCCAGGGCGAGGCUUGUGCAUUGCACUCUGGAUGUGCUGGCCCAUGUGAUUUCCCCUAAUGUGGGAAACUCGACUACAUGAUUUGUGGUAGAGGGGGACUGCAUUCGCACUCUCCCCUG